rnacentral:rRNA from 1 species
AGAGAGAGACAUGCGCGCAUAUCAAUAAGCGGAGGAAAAGAAACUAACAAGGAUUCCCCUAGUAACGGCGAGUGAAGCGGGAAGAGCUCAAAUUUGAAAUCUUCAAGGGUUCUACCUUUACGAAUUGUAGUUUAAAGAAGUGUUUUCUGUUGAGGUUUUGGUAAAAGUUCUUUGGAAUAGGACAUCAUAGAGGGUGAGAAUCCCGUAUUUGACCUUUACUUUCAACUUUGUGAUACACUUUCAAAGAGUCGGAUUGUUUGGGAAUGCAGUCCAAAAUGGGUGGUAAAUUUCAUCUAAAGCUAAAUAUUGGCGAGAGACCGAUAGCGAACAUGUACCGUGAGGGAAAGAUGAAAAGAACUUUGAAAAGGGAGUUAAACAGUACGUGAAAUUGUCAAAAGGGAAGCGUUUGACACCAGUGUUGUUUUUCUGAAAAUCAAUUAAAGAACUGUUUAUGCUAAGUUGUUUAGACUUUAUCAGCUAUCUGUUUAGUUUUGAGCUUUUCUUUAAUGCACUUUUCAGUUAACAAGUCAACAUCAAUUUCUUUUGCUGUAAAAAACUUGAGGAAGGUGGCUUGAGAUUCGUCUUAAGUGUUCAUAGCCUCUUGCCUAUGCAGUCGGAGAGAUUGAGGUCUGCAGCGUAGAUCCUUCGGGGCUAAAUGCAUUUGUGCUAAGUUAUAGCAUUUUAUAGACAACUUGUUGACUAUGAUUUGUCUUGUAGCUUACUCGCUUAUGUUAUUUUACCUACGCUUAGGAUGUUGAGCGCAUGUCUCUCUCU